rnacentral:rRNA from 1 species
CCUACGGGUGGCUGCAGUGGGGAAUAUUGGGCAAUGGGCGAAAGCCUGACCCAGCAACGCCGCGUGGACGAAGAAGGGCUUCGGCUUGUAAAGUUCUAUUGGCAGGGAAGAGCAUAAGAGGGUACCACUCGAAUAACCCACGGCUAUAUAUGUGCCAGCAGCCGCGGUAAUACGUAGGGGGCAAGCGUUGCCCGGAUUUACUGGGUGUAAAGGGCGUGUAGCCGGGCUGACAAGUCAGAUGUGAAAACCGGGGGCUCAACCCCCGAACUGCAUUGGAAACUGUUAGGCUUGAGUGUCGGAGAGGCAGGCGGAAUUCCUAGUGUAGCGGUGAAAUGCGUAGAUAUUAGGAGGAACACCAGUGGCGAAGGCGGCCUGCUGGACGGCAACUGACGGUGAGGCUCGAAAGCGUGGGGAGCAAACAGGAUUAGAUACCCCGGUAGUC